rnacentral:rRNA from 1 species
CCCUUAGAUGUUCUGGCGGCCCGCGCACUACAUUGGCACUGGCAACAAGAUCCUAGAUCUGAUAUUUCGGGGUAUUCUACCAACUGGUGUCGUGACUGGGAUUAACCCCUGCAAUUAUUGGUUAUGAACGAGGAAUUCCUUGUAAUCACGGUUUAUCAACCCGUGUUGAAUGCGUCCCUGCCCUUUGUACACACCGCCCGUCGCUCCUACCGAUGAAUCGUCCGGUGAAGUUCAUGGAGUCGCGGCUGCUCCAGCUGUUUUCGAAGUGAAAUGGACCUCAUGAUUUAGAGGAAGGAGAAGUCGUAACA